rnacentral:misc_RNA from 1 species
AGAGAAUAGAGCGUUAAGACUCUAUCGCCGAAGGUGCAAGUAAUUUAUUACGAAACUCUCAGGCAAAAGGAUAAUA